UGUAGAGCUUAGAAGCUGAAUUGGGUACACCGGGAGAUUUCGAUGAAGAACUCUCGGUUGAUGAACUUAGGGUUUUUACGGAGGAAGAAUUGGUGGAGAAAGCUCUCAAGGAAGAUUUUGAUGGCAUUCGGUGUAUUGAUGAUUCGUUGCAACUGUUGGAAUAUCCUAAUGGG